rnacentral:rRNA from 1 species
AACGAACGCUGGCGGCAUGCCUAACACAUGCAAGUCGAACGAGACCUUCGGGUCUAGUGGCGAACGGGUGCGUAACGCGUGGGAACCUGCCCUUAGGUUCGGAAUAACUCCCCGAAAGGGGUGCUAAUACCGGAUAAUGUCUUCGGACCAAAGAUUUAUCGCCUUUGGAUGGGCCCGCGUUGGAUUAGCUAGUUGGUAGGGUAAAAGCCUACCAAGGCGACGAUCCAUAGCUGGUCUGAGAGGAUGAUCAGCCACACUGGGACUGAGACACGGCCCAGACGCCUACGGGAGGCAGCAGUGGGGAAUAUUGGACAAUGGGCGAAAGCCUGAUCCAGCAAGGCCGCGUGAGUGAUGAAGGCCUUAGGGUUGUAAAGCUCUUUUACCCGGGAUGAUAAUGACAGUACCGGGAGAAUAAGCUCCGGCUAACUCCGUG